CCUACCCUGGGGGUUUCUUGAGUCUGGAAAGCACUUUGGAGGGUGAUGCUCCAUCUAAUUUCAUCCGAAGUAGGAAAUCCAAAGUGAAGUCCAUCUGAAUUGUGCUUUCUGCCUGAUCCCACGUAAAGAAAAGUUCUGUAGUGUUUUAGCGAUAUCUCACAGCAAAGGAAACCAUGCUGAACUCAGAGCCUAUAUCAGAAGUGUUUGUCAUCUCAGGCCCCAUCUGCAGCACCCAGCCCCAUUUCCGGGCAGGAAAUGAAACCACAGAAGGCAAGGACACUUCUUUGGAUGAAGCUGAGCCUCUGACGCUGUCCCUGAACUUGAUAAGCUUUUCAUGGGAUAUGCUAGAUGAGGAAAUGAAAUGGGACUUGACUGGCUGUCAAAGACUUCUCUGGGAUUUUCCUUCCCUGGAAUGUUUCCUUUACCAUCAGGAUCCCAGUCAAAUGCCACUGCCUUCAUGAAGCCUUUUUCAACUACCCGGAACCCCCUUCUCUGAAUGCCCGGUAAACUGGGAGUAAGUACCAUUCAUUGUGUGAAUUUCAUCUCCUGACUCUGCACCUACUUACCAGUGAGGGAGACUGAACGAUGAUGAUUUACUCCUUUUCACAAAUGAGAAAGCAGAACCCCAGGUGGUAAAGUAAUUGCUUCAGGAUCAUACAGGAAACGACAUGGAGGCUUCUGCUGGGAAGAUGCUUUGCUUCCCGAGUGCACGAGAAAGAGGAUCCACGACACUGGCAUUGUCCACAAGAGCACUCCCCUGCCUACUCACAGGAAGGAUCUCUUAUUUUCUAAUCAACCUAGAGCAAGGGGUCCCUUUCAGACACUUUGGCCAGGCCAUAGAGUGGUUUCUCUUACAUCCAUGCGUUUCAGCAAAGGGCUUCCUCUAAGGCUCAUGUCACCCUCAUCCAAGGUCCACAAAACCCUCUGAAAGAACUGAGCUCAUCUGCUUUCCUCUGUCACUUGAGAGGCUGGUGUGCACGGAAUCCUCAUUCUUGAGACCAGAGUCACAGUAAGCCUUUCCAACCAGUUUUUAAUUUAGACAAAGAUUAGCAAAAGCACAGUUAUUACCACUAAAAGCACCCUUAAAGAGGCCUGUAAAUACUGAGCCGAAUAGCAGGAAUCUGACUCUACUCUCCGAGGCCCUGAGUUCCUCAAGGCCCUUGAAAUGUACCUGCGUCUUCCCCAUCAGAGCCCUUUGUUCUCCCUUCUGUCCUGUCUCCCUGUUCAUGGCUCACCUUCCCACUGCGGGAUGAGGUAGGCGGCUGGGAGGUGCAUCCCUGGAUUCAGACCCGGGAGACCAGAGGCUUUCCCAUUAGCAUUCGGCUGUUAUGCUCUCUUGGGCCCUAAAGACUAAAGAGAAGUGUCACGUCAAGAGCUUUAGAAAAAUCUCAAAAAUCUCGAGAGUAGUGGUUCUUUAUUAAUUCACUUAAUCAGUAAAUUACAUAAUUAAUAUAUUAAACGGUACCUAGAGGCCCAGAAUAUUGAAAAGGAAUUCUGUAUUGGCUGCAUAUUUCGAUGGUGAUUCUAGAUGCUCCCGGUGACAGCUCCAGAAUUUCUGUAGAGGAGGGGCUUAAGGGUGCAGUUUGGCUUGAAGGAGAGGCUUCGGGAACAAAACUGAGAUUGAAUGUUUAUUUGGGGUGGCUUUUUGAGAGGGGGGGGUGGGAUGGAGAUCGGGGUCACUCCCGGACAUUCCUGUGCUCUGGGCCCUCCUACAUUCUUGCUGCUCUGAAUCACACCUGCAAAUCGAGAUGGCUUUGCGAGAGCGCCCAGCUCUACCCUUCUUUUCCUCUGUCCCCUUCCUGCUCUGCGUCCUCUCUUGAUUCCUUAUGUCGCACUUUGCCCCAUUAGCUCUAUACCUGCACCUUUGCCCUUUCUCUCAUCACUAACUUUGUUUCAAAAUCUGUCUUCUUUUUAUCUCAAUCUAGUAAUGACCAGCCUGGAAGGCAGGAAUGCCCAGGGGACUGCCAUAAACCCAGAAUUAUGACGUAAGAGCCAAGGCUAAAAGCUGAGAUCACUUUUCUCUUUUGAGAGCCAUUGUUUUGGGUGGUUCAGCCCAUAAAGGAUUCUGGAUCUUAAAAGAAUCUCAAACGUUUUUAUUUCUUUUCCUUUUUACAAGCAGGAAGAAACAGGAUGAUGCUGCAGAGCCAGCCAUUUUGUUUCUGAGGUCCCUGCCUUUUCAAGAACGAGCUGGGACCUAUUGCUUCUUUCUGGAGCUCUUGACUUUUUAGUCUUUCCCUCCCCACUCCUUCACCCUCCACCCCCAGUAGAGGUGGAAAUGGUGAGUCUGCAACCAAGGUCAGACAAACCAGUGGAGGA